ACCAUAAAGAAGUCUUACCCUCUAAUGGCUGCCUUCCUGUGAACUCCCAUGCCAGGCAUGCCCUUAGCUCUUGCCUGUGGGCUUGCCAGAGGCAUCUGGUGGGCCUAGUCCGGGAUGAUGGACUAGAUGGGACAACAUGUAAUUGCUGGGACAACAUCCCAGUGAAGCUUCUUACAGCACAGCAGUCCUUACUUCCUUCUACCUACCCUCUUCUCUGCCAGGACAACAGCUAAAGCAACCAAACUAUAUGUCAACAUGCAUUUCAAUUACUGCAACAUAUUUCACUGGAAGACUUUACAGAAAGUUCCAAGAACCUUAGGCGAUGACUCUUGAUUUACUUUCUCCUGAGAACUAUAAAAUAUUUUAAAGAACCAUA